GAUGAACGCUGGCGGCGUGCUUAACACAUGCAAGUCGAACGAUGAAGCUCCGGCUUGCUGGGGUGGAUUAGUGGCGAACGGGUGAGUAACACGUGAGUAACCUGCCCUUGACUCUGGGAUAAGCCUUGGAAAACGGGGGUCUAAUACCGGAUAGGAGCAUUCACCGCAUGGUGGGUGUUGGAAAGAAUUUCGGUCUUGGAUGGACUCGCGGCCCAUCAGCUUGUUGGUGAGGUAAUGGCUCACCAAGGCGACGACGGGUAGCCGGCCUGAGAGGGUGACCGGCCACACUGGGACUGAGACACGGCCCAGACUCCUACGGGAGGCAGCAGUGGGGAAUAUUGCACAAUGGGCGCAAGCCUGAUGCAGCGACGCCGCGUGAGGGAUGACGGCCUUCGGGUUGUAAACCUCUUUCAGUAGGGAAGAAGCGAAAGUGACGGUACCUGCAGAAGAAGCACCGGCUAACUACGUG
rnacentral:rRNA from 1 species